UUAUUUUUCCUCUUCGUCGAUUCCUCUCUGUCUCUCCGCGCGUUCGUCUCGUUGGUGGUGACAUUCUUCUAACCCUUCUGAUAUCAUCUGUUUAGGUAGUUUUCUUCUGAUAUCUCUCGUUCUACAUCUUCCUUCUUCUUUUUCCCUUUUUUUGACUUUCUGAGAGUUGCUAUUGUUGGGGAGGUAUGAUUUGAUCUCCUGUAUGUUGUGUCUUAUUGUAUUUUCCAGAUUCUCUUGCAGCGUACACACAUUCAGCUGAGGUUACUAACGGCUGUCUUUCCUCCCUGUUUUUUUUUUUUUUCUGCUUUUGUAUUUCUCAUGGUACAUCUAUUCCUACUGUUUGAUUUUAUUCUUGUAUGCUUGUCACCGUGCCUUUUUAUGUGAAGUGAUCCCCUCUUUAAAGGUAUGUUUAAGGUUUGUAAUGAUAUUCUUCUAAACUCGUCUCUGUUUUUUUUUCAAUCGAUCAUUGGAUAUACUACUUGCUUGUUUAUCUUCUGGUGUUUUCUUUCUAAAUUGCAUCGGCGGUUUUUUUUCCUUAAUAUGUUCGUCGGAUUUACUUGUCGUUAUGUUAUUUCAGGGCUUGGAUAAUCCUUUUUUUAAUCAAUGAUGGCUAUGAUGAAUUCUAUGUGCUACGGCUCAGGGGUUUCGUUCUUCAUUCUUAAUUAAUACGUCUUUUACUGUUUGUUUUGUUUUGUUUCUUACGUUUCUUUCUUCGUCUUGCAGGUGUUUUGGAAGCGAACUAUGAUCUGAGCAUCGCUUACUCUUCUCCAUGGACGUUCGAUUUCACGGAUUUGUGGAGGAUCCUAGGAUCUGUGAUGGCUUUGACUGAUCAUUGUCACUACAAUUCAUGUUAUUCUGAUAGGCUUUCUAAAUUGAAACGUUCAAGGCUAUUUAAUUAUGUUCAUGCGAUGUUUACCUCUCUUCGUUCCAUACUUGUUCCGAUUAGACUCUUUGUAACAACUUGUUAUUACGUGAUUGGUAAAUUCAAGAUGGCGUAAUAUUAUUGAUAUAAUUGUCAUCAA